AUGGAUUUAUAAAGGCGAUUGGCCCAGCUGAUGUGAUCCAAAAACAGUUUUCUGGAGAAACUUUUGAAGAAAGAAUCGACUGCUCUGGGAAAUGUAUCCUACCAGGUCUGGUGGAUGCACACACACAUCCCGUGUGGGCUGGAGACAGAGUGCCCGAGUUUGCAAUGAAGUUGGCAGGGGCCUCCUACAUGGACAUCCAC